AUUUGGCAGACUCAUGAUUACCCAUCCUGGCAAAUACGUUAUGGAUGACGGACAACUGUUCGGGUUUCAGAUGAGUGGCUCAGUGUAUGCGCCAAUAGCUCAUUAACGGGCUUUAAACCCCAGGACAGAACAGGCUGCAUACACCGUGCCAAAUCUAAU
rnacentral:sRNA from 1 species